rnacentral:rRNA from 1 species
GGAACCUACCUUCUAGCGGGGGAUAACACAUACCCCUUUGUGCUAAUACCGCAUAAUAGUAUUUGAUGCAUAUCAGAUAUUUGAAAGGCGCAAUUGCGUCACUAGAAGAUGGCCCCGCGGUGCAUUAGCUAGUUGGUGAGGUAAUGGCUCACCAAGGCAAUGAUGCAUAGCCGACCUGAGAGGGUGAUCGGCCACACUGGGACUGAGACACGGCCCAGACUCCUACGGGAGGCAGCAGUAGGGAAUCUUCGGCAAUGGACGCAAGUCUGACCGAGCAACGCCGCGUGAGUGAAGAAGGUUUUCGGAUCGUAAAACUCUGUUGUAAGAGAAGGACGUUGAUGAGAGUGGAAAGUUCAUCAAGUGACGGUAUCUUACCAGAAAGCCACGGGUAACUACGUGCCAGCAGCCGCGGUAAUACGUAGGUGGCAAGCGUUGUCCGGAUUUAUUGGGCGUAAAGCGAGCGCAGGCGGUUGAUUAAGUCUGAUGUGAAAGCCCCCGGCUCAACCGGGGAGGGUCAUUGGAAACUGGUCAACUUGAGUGCAGAAGAGGAGAGUGGAAUUCCAUGUGUAGCGGUGAAAUGCGUAGAUAUAUGGAGGAACA